rnacentral:lncRNA from 1 species
ACGAGGAUUGAGUGUACUUGGAAUUCACUGUGUUGUGUGGUUAUUUCUUUCUAUUUAAUGUGAUAUUAUGUGUAUGUGUGGUUCCCAACCACAAUAUUACAGGCUUCAUAUUCAAUAAAUCUGGGCUUCACAGGGCACAGUGUUUUCAAAUUCUCUAUUCCAUAAUUUUUAAAUAUAAUCUAACUCGGCUUUACACGAGAUAAAUUAAAAAUCAUGGAUCAAAUAAAUUAACCCAG